rnacentral:rRNA from 1 species
CCUACGGGUGGCAGCAGUGGGGAAUAUUGGACAAUGGGCGAAAGCCUGAUCCAGCCAUGCCGCGUGUGUGAAGAAGGCCUUCGGGUUGUAAAGCACUUUCAGUGGGGAAGAAAGCCUUGGGGCUAAUACCCUCGAGGAAGGACAUCACCCACAGAAGAAGCACCGGCUAACUCCGUGCCAGCAGCCGCGGUAAUACGGAGGGUGCGAGCGUUAAUCGGAAUUACUGGGCGUAAAGCGCGCGUAGGCGGUCUGAUAAGCUGGUUGUGAAAGCCCCGGGCUCAACCUGGGAACGGCAUCCGGAACUGUCAGGCUAGAGUACAGGAGAGGAAGGUAGAAUUCCCGGUGUAGCGGUGAAAUGCGUAGAGAUCGGGAGGAAUACCAGUGGCGAAGGCGGCCUUCUGGACUGACACUGACGCUGAGGUGCGAAAGCGUGGGUAGCAAACAGGAUUAGAUACCCGAGUAGUC